ACACACAGAGUUCACUUAUUAGACCAGAGUCACUAUGAAAUUUUAAUAUUCACUGCUAUUAUGAUUUUACUGGACACAGGUUGAUUCAGGACUGAACCUUAAGAGUAUUUAUGCUGCUACAGGUAACAUUGGGAGGUACAAUGAUAUCAGUAUUUUCAAAGCAAUCAAGAGUACCUCUACUGCUCGCAAGACGUCUCUAAAGAC